AUUGAACGCUGGCGGAAUGCUUUACACAUGCAAGUCGAACGGUAGAGGGGGCAACCCCUCGAGAGUGGCGAACGGGUGAGUAAUAUAUCGGAACGUGCCCAGUCGUGGGGGAUAACGUAGCGAAAGUUACGCUAAUACCGCAUACGAUCUAAGGAUGAAAGCGGGGGAUCGCAAGACCUCGCGCGAUUGGAGCGGCCGAUAUCAGAUUAGGUAGUUGGUGGGGUAAAGGCUCACCAAGCCAACGAUCUGUAGCUGGUUUGAGAGGAAGACCAGCCACACUGGAACUGAGACACGGUCCAGACUCCUACGGGAGGCAGCAGUGGGGAAUUUUGGACAAUGGACGCAAGUCUGAUCCAGCCAUUCCGCGUGCAGGAUGAAGGCCCUCGGGUUGUAAACUGCUUUUGUACGGAACGAAAAGGUCUCUCUUAAUACGGGGGACUCAUGACGGUACCGUAAGAAUAAGCACCGGCUAACUACGUGCCAGCAGCCGCCGUAA
rnacentral:rRNA from 1 species